UUUUUUUUUUUUUUUUACACACACACACACACACACACACACAUAUUUAUAAAAUUUCCAUCGGCUGUUGGCAAUGUAGAAUCCUAGUCUGGAAAGAAAUCACAUAUUCCCAGGAAUACCAGAGAAUCACAAUAUAGAUUUGAUGAUGAGCCUCAAAUUUUACUCUAUUUCCCCUUUAAGGAUAUGCUUCCUCAUUUGUUCAAAGGCAAUAAUAAUAGUUCCCGUCUCAUGGGGGAGUGAUUUCUGUUCUUAAGGUUAUUUAUAUGGUAUAUUACAUUAAUUUGUGUCUAUUGAGCCGGCUUCAUCUCUGAGAUGAAGCUAAUACAUCUGCUAAAUCCAUUUGAGCAGUGGUAUAGCUUAAAGUUUCCUUGUAGAUUUUUAAUUUGAAUGACUUGUGUAGAGAUGAGAACUGACAAUAGAAUCUCCCACUAUGUUGCACUUACACCCAUGUGACUUGUAAAUGCCUGUUCGUGUCUGUAUGAAGUCAUGAGCCACAGUGUUUGCUGCAUGUUUAUUCACAGUAGUUACAGCUGCUCUUCAGUUGUUCCCUUUAUUACAAUAUGCUGACCUUCUUUUUGUUCUAAUUUGAUUUCAGGUUAUCAGCUAUCAAAAUACUAUGCCUUGUAUUUGGUUUCCAUUUGUUUGGCAUGCUGACUUCCAUCUUUUGACUCUCAGUGUGGGUAUCCUCCAGAGAGAUGCUUCUUGGAAACAUUAGUUUGAGGUCAUUUGUUCCUAGAAACUAUGUACUAACCACUGUAAUUCUGUUGCUUAGACUCUUGUUCUUUUCCCUCCUGCCAGGGGUUUUCUGGUGUAUUACAUCAGACAUGAUCGAUUCCUUCUGAGCUCGCCUUUGUUGUCUGCUACUCUGUGAAAGUCUUACUCCCUUAUUUUCUUAUGAUUGAGAGUGUUUUUGCAUCUUCCUCUGUGUAUAAUAUUCCUUUAACUAUCUUCUGGAAUGCUAAGUUGGUGGUCAUGAACUGCCUUAAUUUGUGCUUAUCUUCAAAUAUUUGUAUUUCUUUAUCAACUUUGAAAGAUAAUGCUGCUGAGUAUAGCAACUGGGUCAGCACACUUGAGCUCUCUCAUUCCAUGAUUUCCUGACUGAAAUGGCUGAUGAGAGGCUGAUAUUCCUCUAAUAGUUAUGUCUCUGUAGGUAAGCUGACGGUUUCCUCUCACAGCUUUUAACCUUGUUUCUUUGUAUUCCUGUUGUCCUGGCUUUUAUGUGCCAUGAACACAUUGUUAUCUGCUCAUGUCUGUUUGGCAUUCUGUGCCAUGGAGACAUUGUUAUCCACUCUUGUCUGUUUGGCAUUCUGUGCCAUGGACACAUUGUUAUCUGCUCGUGUCUAUUUGGCAUUCUGCAUGAGCUUUUGUGUUUCGAUGUCCAUUUCAUUCUCUAGAUCUGUGAAAUUUUCUGCUGAGGUUUUAUGAGCUGCAUGCCUGCCAUUCUUACCUAAGUUUCUACCCACGGUGCUUAGGUUGGAUUGCAGAGUUCUUGGGCUUCAAGGUAAAAACCCUUUAUUGUUUUCUUUAUGGGUAUUGGAAUGCAGGGUUUGUCUUUUGUGCUCUCCAGCCCUGAAACUCUUUCUUCCUCUUGGUCAGAUUUCUUGGCAAUGUUUUCCACUGUUUCUUUAUUUGAUUCAUUGAGUUUAUUUCCAAGUUUCUUUUUUUCAAAACCUCAAUUUCCUUAUUGAUUUUCCCCCUUACCCAUAUUUUUCAUCCAUAUUACUGAGAGUCAGUCUCUCUCUCUCACACACACAUGCACACUUUUUUUCAAUUUUUUUUUACAUUGCUGACUUCAUUCCAAGUCCUGUUUUUUGUCCUACAGCUUGUUUGCAUAUUCUUUAAGGUCACUUAUUAUUUUGACUAAUACACUCUUGAAGUCUCAUCUGACACUUUGCCAUUUCAGUAAUAUCGUUGAAUUCAAUAAUUGAGUGGGGUCUUUUGAAAUCACACUGUGUGCUCUCUCUCUCCCUCUGUCUCUCUCCCCUCCCUCUCUCUAUCUCUGUCUCUCUCUCUCUUUCUCUCUCUCUCUCUUUCUCUCUCUCUCUCUCUCUCUCUCUCUCUCUCUCUCUCUCUCUCUCUCGUGUGUGUGUGUGUGUGUGUGUGUGUGUGUGUGUGUGUGUGUGUGUCUGUUUGACCUUUGUGUGUGUGUGUGUGUGUGUGUGUAUGUGUGUGUGUGUGUGUGUGUGUAUGUGUGUGUGUGUGUGUGUGUGUGUGUGUGUGUGUCCCUCCCUCCUUUCCCUCCCAUCCCUGUGAGCAUCCCUUCUCCCUACAAGCCCAUUUCCCACAUUCUUGUCUUGGUUUAGAGACCUGUAUUCCUAAAUACUGAAGAGACACAUUUCUUUUUGCUAAAUCCAGAACUCUUAUUUGAAAAUAUUUUCAAUUAGUAAUCAUAUAGAUUUGAAAAAAUACUUUGGUUUAUCUUUAAUGGCAUAUAAAACAAAGCACAGUAAUCCUGUGACCAUAAACAGAAGGUGGUUAGGAAUGUGGGCAUGGGAUCUGGGAGGUAAUGAAGCGUGUUCAUCCUUUCAUCGAGUCUAGGAUGCCUAUAUUCAUGUGUCUGUGGGACAGUUAAAAGAUAAUAAAGACAGUACUGACAUCCCAUCUUUUCUAUAAAUGUUUAGUGCCUUAAAACAUCACAGCUUUUUUAUUUUUCUACAUGUAAUUGUUUCAAAGUAUAUACUUAGGUAACUAUUUAACUUUACCAUUUAUUCAAGAUUCUUACUGGAAGAAUCUAACAAAUGUCUUUAUAGAUUUUAUUUCCCAAAUUGUAUUGCUGGUAAAUUGUUACAGCAGCUGUACUUAGGUCCUCAAGUGCAAGAAUAUCUGCACUGCUUUCAUGCUCUAAGACUCCAAGAUAACACUCGGUGAUAGACUAGGAAGGGAACUAAAUAGACUUCCCAGAACUACUAGGGAGGGGCUGAUGAUGCAUUAGCUCUUGGAAAGACAGCUCCUGCCUGCUGGGGGUGAGAAGGAAGUGCCUCCCUAUAAAGCCAGCCAGAUGAGAUAUGUGAGGGCUAGCUUUACCUCAGCUUUCUAGCCAUGUGACCAGAAAGUAUCUGAAAAUAGAAUAACUUGCAUUUGACUUAAAGGGAUACAUUUCUAGACUUGAAGCCAAUACGGUUGUGAACUGAGGCUGUUUCUUCAGAGGCCUGUUGUCUUGACAUACGCAGAGGUGCUUUACAGCCUCUCUCUCAGCCUCAGGGCUCCUUGUCUUUGGUGUCCUUGCUUCUGCACUUCCUUGCCUGUUGCUCUUUAGCCUUUGACCCACACUCUGCUUGCUUGUUUCCUAGGUCUGUAAGGUCAUGAAUGACACAUUAGCAGAGAACAGGAUCUAAAAUGUAAGGAUCUUGGGUUUGCCCACUGCCUCUCCUCAGCUCUGUCAAGGCCUGUGGAGUCUCUGAGCUCUGGGCCUGCCUGAGUGUUUUAGGAGGAGCAUCACAGCUCCAGUGUUUGAGACAUGGUGCUGCCAUUGCUCACCAAAUAACAACUUUUUAGCCAUUGCCUUUCCUCAUCACCCAGGAGGAAACAGUACCUGGAGCAGGGCUGACAGUUUUAUAAGGUCAUGUAGCAAGUUCAUCUGGGGCUUAGAGCUUCUGCCUGAGCCCCUGAGCCUUAGGCAACCCCUUUCUACCUGUAGUCUACUUUUGUAACCUUUCCUCAUAAGUUUGCUGACUGGAAUUUUUGCUUUCUGACCACCAUUGUUCACAGUUUAUCUUUGAGGAAAUGUAUGGGUUUUUGUUUUGUUUUGUUUUGUUUUGUUUUGUUUUGUUUUUCUGGUUUUUAUCCUUAGCUGGGAGAGUGAUGUUUCCUCCUUUUCUGAUAAGGACAGCAAUUGGCCAGACUCCAGGGUCUGAGGAAAUACAGUUGUAGAAACUGAAGGUUACCCUAUGGGUGGGCCAAUUCUUUGCACUGGAUUUUUAAUGUUUACUCCUGCAGUAGUACUUAAAUGUGAAAAACGUCAAAGUUCAAAGGGUAAAUAAUAUGUUUCACUUGAAUUUUUCUAAUACAAUAUUUUAGUGUAUGUGUACCCAUAUAAAGAUGAGUAGAGUUUGGGUGUAGCUCACUGGGUGGAGUCUUUGCUUGCCAUGCUUAAAGCUCUGGGUUCAGUCACUGGCACCAUAUAAGCCAGGCUGCAGGGCAUACACCUGUAAUCCCAGAGCAUAGGAAUCCAUCAGAAGAAGCUGAAGGUUCUCCUCUUACAUAAGGAAUUUGAGGCCAACCUGGGUUAGAGAACCUGUCUCAAAAAAGG
rnacentral:lncRNA from 1 species